rnacentral:rRNA from 1 species
AGCGAACGCUGGCGGCAGGCCUAACACAUGCAAGUCGAACGAAGUCUUCGGACUUAGUGGCGGACGGGUGAGUAACACGUGGGAACGUACCUUUUGGUUCGGAACAACUCAGGGAAACUUGAGCUAAUACCGGAUGAGCCCUUAGGGGGAAAGAUUUAUCGCCGAAAGAGCGGCCCGCGUUAGAUUAGCUAGUUGGUGAGGUAAAGGCUCACCAAGGAUACGAUCUAUAGCUGGUCUGAGAGGAUGAUCAGCCACACUGGGACUGAGACACGGCCCAGACUCCUACGGGAGGCAGGAGUGGGGAAUCUUGCGCAAUGGGCAAAAGCCUGACGCAGCCAUGCCGCGUUAAUGAUGAAGGUCUUAGGAUUGUAAAAUUCUUUUACCAGGGACGAUAAUGACGGUACCUGGAGAAAAAGCCCCGGCUAACUUCGUGCCAGCAGCAGCCGCGGUAA